AACGCUAGCUACAGGCUUAACACAUGCAAGUCGAGGGGCAGCAUUGGAGUAGCAAUACUUUAGAUGGCGACCGGCGCACGGGUGAGUAACACGUAUCCAACCUGCCGCUUACUCGGGGAUAGCCUUUCGAAAGAAAGAUUAAUACCCGAUGGUAUAAAGAGUUCGCAUGUUCUCUUUAUUAAAGAAUUUCGGUAAGCGAUGGGGAUGCGUUCCAUUAGAUCGUUGGCGGGGUAACGGCCCACCAAGUCUACGAUGGAUAGGGGUUCUGAGAGGAAGGUCCCCCACAUUGGAACUGAGACACGGUCCAAACUCCUACGGGAGGCAGCAGUGAGGAAUAUUGGUCAAUGGACGAGAGUCUGAACCAGCCAAGUAGCGUGAAGGAUGACUGCCCUAUGGGUUGUAAACUUCUUUUAUAAGGGAAUAAAGUGAGGGACGUGUCCCUUUUUGUAUGUACCUUAUGAAUAAGGAUCGGCUAACUCCGUGCCAGCAGCCGCGGUAAUACGGAGGAUCCAAGCGUUAUCCGGAUUUAUUGGGUUUAAAGGGAGCGUAGGCCGUCUGUUAAGCGUGUUGUGAAAUGUAGAUGCUCAACAUCUGAAUUGCAGCGCGAACUGGCAGACUUGAGUGUGCGCAACGUAGGCGGAAUUCGUGGUGUAGCGGUGAAAUGCUUAGAUAUCACGAAGAACUCCGAUUG
rnacentral:rRNA from 1 species